AAUCAUUCAAGACUUUUAAUUUAAAAGUUUGUUGUCUUGAAUGAAUCCUGAACCCUAGGUUCUAAACUGUUCAGAACCUUAUGACCUGAUGCCUUGGGUUCUGGUUUCUUCAAAACCUUUGAUUUCAGAGUCUUAAGUUCUGGUGACUUCAGAACGUUUGACUUUAGAGUCUCAAGUUCUAGUUUCUUCAGAACCUUUGACCCAACAAGUUUUGAUUCUGAUUGGUUUAGAACCUUUUGAUUGUUAUAAUCAGGUACAAAAUAAAAUUUUAAC
rnacentral:lncRNA from 1 species